GCCCUCAUAGCUCAGUGGAUAGAGCGUUCGCCUCCGGAGCGAAAGGUCGUGGGUUCGAUCCCCACUGAGGGCA
rnacentral:tRNA from 1 species